rnacentral:rRNA from 1 species
GAUGAACGCUGGCGGCGUGCCUAAUACAUGCAAGUCGAGCGAACGGACGAGGAGCUUGCUUCUCUGACGUUAGCGGCGGACGGGUGGGUAACACGUGGAUAACCUACCUAUAAGACUGGGAUAACUUCGGGAAACCGGAGCUAAUACCGGAUAAUAUAUUGAACCGCAUGGUUCAAUAGUGAAAGACGGUUUUGCUGUCACUUAUAGAUGGAUCCGCGCCGCAUUAGCUAGUUGGUAAGGUAACGGCUUACCAAGGCAACGAUGCAUAGCCGACCUGAGAGGGUGAUCGGCCACACUGGAACUGAGACACGGUCCAGACUCCUACGGGAGGCAGCAGUAGGGAAUCUUCCGCAAUGGGCGAAAGCCUGACGGAGCAACGCCGCGUGAGUGAUGAAGGUCUUCGGAUCGUAAAACUCUGUUAUCAGGGAAGAACAAAUGUGUAAGUAACUGUGCACAUCUUGACGGUACCUAAUCAGAAAGCCACGGCUAACUACGUG